rnacentral:lncRNA from 1 species
AUCAUCUCGACGCGGAGUUGAGACAGAUGUCAAGCAAAGCUACUAUGGAAUAGUAGCUUUGAUAGUUUCACUACUGUGUUAGAGUUGCUCGAUGAUCAGCAUGCUGAUAUGCUGCGCCAAUCCUUCCUGUGGGCCUUGUACCCGUUGAGAGAUCUGCAGUACUCAGGUCAGAUUUUUGAUGCACUUCCAUGUCGAUUGUUGAGUGCAGUCGACGGUGAUGCCCUCCAAUUCACAGUCGGGGGCAAAGUCGCCAGUUUUUCGAUGUUCGAGUUUGCUCUGAUCACGGGAUUAAAGAUUACGAACAAUGAAGCAGCGGGUGAUGAGACCCGGAGAAGAAAUAGGCUACAUGACGCUUACUUCGAGGGAUAGGGUACUGUGCUUCUUACACAGCUGUUCGACGCAAUUAGGAGGUGUGAUCAGAUGUUAGACAGACUGAAGUUAGGUCUGAUCUAUAUCCUUGAGAGCGUGAUGCGGUGUCACCACAAGAAGACUGCGAUCGACCUCUUCCAUCUGGAGAUCGUUGACGACAUCGAUCGUUUCAACAACUAUUCGUGGGAUUGGAGAUGUUUUGAAGACACCGUACACAUCUUUACCAGAUCGCACUCGAAGCCGAAGGGGGUCGUGCGUAAGUACGACACCUAUGGAUUGCCCCUGACGGUGUAGGUAAAUGGUUAAUAUAAUGAAUGUUAAAACUUUUUUCCUAUUGAAUUUGUAUAUAAUAAUUGUAUGUAUUGCAGAUCUGGACGUAUAAGAUUGUCCCCCUAUUGGGUGCCCGCUUUGCAAGGGGAGGGAAGACACACUGCCCUCGAAUGCACCACUGGAGAGCAUCUCGAUCGAAGGGAUGUCCCACUGGGAGACAGUUAUCGGCUAUCUUCGAUGACCCUGAAGUGAGAAUUAUGCAUUUGUAAUUUAUAUUAUGUGUGAUUUAACAUAUGAUUACAUGAUCGUUAACUAGUUCAAAUGUCAAUAUGUCAGCUUCAAGUCAUAACUGAGUUGACGUCGUCGAUGGAAGAUGAGG